rnacentral:lncRNA from 1 species
GGGUUAUAUGGGGUUAUAUGGGGUUAUAUAGGGUUAUAUGGGAUUAUAUGGGAUAUAUGGGGUUAUAUGGGGUUAUAUGGGGUUAUAUGGGGGUAUAUGGGGGUAUAUGGGGGUAUAUGGGGGUAUAUGGGGUUAUAUGGGGUUAUAUGGGGUUAUAUGGGGUUAUAUGGGGUUAUAUAGGGUUAUAUAGGGUUAUAUGGGGUUAUAUGGGGUUCUAUGGGGUCCUUUGGGGUCUUCGGGGUCUCCUCGACCCUAUAGAUCCUAUAGGUCCUUUGGGGUCACCGUGA